UGGAUUAGGCAUGCAAGUCGAACGAAUCCCAGGGGCUGUAGCAAUACAAUCUCUGGGGAAAGUGGCGAAAGGGGCAGUAAGGCAUGGGUAACCUACCCUGGGGACCGGGAUAGCCCUUCUAACGAAGGGGUAAUACCGGGCGAUGUGGCCGAUACGCAUGUUUUGGCCAUGAGAUGAAUUUCGCCUCGGGAGGGGCUCAUGUAGUAUUAGCUAGUUGGUAGGGUGACGGCCUACCAAGGCAAAGAUGCUUAGCGGGUGUGAGAGCACGACCCGCGCCACUGGCACUGAGACACUGGCCAGACUCCUACGGGAGGCUGCAGUCGAGGAUCUUCGGCAAUGGGCGCAAGCCUGACCGAGCGACGCCGCGUGAGCGAUGAAGGCCUUCGGGUUGUAAAGCCC
rnacentral:rRNA from 1 species